rnacentral:lncRNA from 1 species
CUCUCUGUGUGCUUUAUCUGACUGUAGUAGGCUGAAUAAAGGCCUCCAAAGAUGUCCCCAUUCUAAGCCCUGGAACCUGUGAAUGUUACUUUACAUAGCAAAAGGGACUAUGCAGAUGUGACUAAGAAUCUUGAGAUAGGGAGAUUAUCCUGGGGAUUAUCCAGGUGGGCCCUAAAUGCAAUUUCAAGUGUCCUUAUAAGAGAGAUUGAGAAGGAAACUUCACCACAGAGCAGGAAAAAAAUCAGUGUGACCAUGGAAGCAGAGAUUGAAGUGAUGUGGUCACAAGGCAAGGAAUGCUGGCAGCCACCAGACACCAGAAGAGGUGAGGAACGGAUUCUCCCCCGAACCUCCAGAGGGAAGACAGCCCUACUGUCACCUUGAUUUUAGUCCAGUGAUGUUGAUUUCAGACUCUGGCCUCCAGAACUCACAGUGACCCAUGAUUUUCAAGAUGGUGGCUGCUUUGUCAGAUGAAUUCCGGAGUGACCACAAGCAGAGAUCUCCUAACGACCCAUGAUGGGUAGUGUGAGCAACUGGCAGCCUCCUAGGAGGAGGUGU